GCCGGGGCGCGAGCAUGGCAGCGGGGCUCCUAUCACGAGCAGGGCGGCGGGUCAACGAGCCUUCUCCGUCAGCAGCUAUAAGUUUCAGACCUUAUUUUCAUAGACAGACAGCCCUUCCAAAGAAAAGAAAACAUACGCUAACUACUUAGACGCUGCCAGAAAAAAGAAAAGGGAAGAAAAGAAAAGAAGAAAAACUUACAUAACUACCGCCGAUGGAAAUCAAUCUUGUGACCAGCGUGUAGCGGGUCUGGCUGUAUCGCGCGGGAAGUUAUCGCUGCCUGAAUGCGCGUGAAACAAAAUUAUAUUUAAUUCACACGGCUUGUUUAGUUUCUGAGAAAAAAAAUUCACGACACUGUAACAUUUUCGUUUGUUUGUGAUAAUCAUUGUUUAACCAUAAACUAAUUAGGCUCAAAAGAUUUGUCUCGUCAAUUCGGACCAAACUGUGCAAUUAGUUUUUAUUUUCGUCUAUAUUUAAUACUCUAUGCAUACGUCUAAAGAUUCGAUGUAACGGAAAAUCUGAAAAAAUUUGUAAAUUUUUUUGGAACUACGCAAGGACAAGGCCGCAGUAGGAGAUGGCAGCACCUCUGGCAGGCAGCACCAAUCACAUCAGCACAGGCCCGGUUCACGCUGGC
rnacentral:lncRNA from 1 species